rnacentral:rRNA from 1 species
UGCGUAGAGAUCUGGCCAGGAAUACCGGUGGCGAAGGCGGCCCCCUGGACAAAGACUGACGCUCAGGUGCGAAAGCGGACUGGGGAGCAAACAGGAUUAGAUACCCUGGUAGUCCACGCCGUAAACGAUGUCUACUUGGAGGUUGUGCCCUUGAGGCACGUGGCUUGCCCGGAGCGUAACGGCCGUUAAGACUAGACCGCCUGGGGAGUACGGCCGCAAGGUUAAAACUGGCAAACUGAAUUGACGGGGGCCCGCACUAAGCGGUGGCAACAAAGCAUGUGGUUUAAUCUCGAUGCAACGCGAAGUAACCUUACCUGGUCUUGACAUCCACAGAAGAAUCCAGAGAUGGAUUUGUGCCUGUCGGGAACUGUGAGACAGGUGCAAAUGCAUGGCUGUCGUCAGCUCGUGUUGUGAAGACCAUGUUGGGUUAAGUCCCGUUGCAACGAGCGCAACCCUUAUCCUUUGUUGCCAGCGAUUAGGUCGGGAACCGUCAAAGGAGACUGCCAGUGAUAAACUGGAGGAAGGACUGGGGAUGACGUCAAGUCAUCAUGGCCCUUACGACCAGGGCUACACACGUGCUACAAUGGCGCAACCUACAAAGAGACAGCGUUUACCUCGCGGAGAGCAAGCGGACCUCAUAAAUGUUUGCGUCGUAGUCUUUCGGAUUGGAGUCUGCAACUCGACUCCAUGAAGUCGGAAUCGCUACCGGUAAUCGUGGAUCAGAAUGCCACGGUGAAUACCGUUCCACCGGGCCUUGUACACACCGCCUACAGUCACACCAUGGGAGUGUCGGUUGCAG